rnacentral:snRNA from 1 species
AUCGCUUCUCGGCCUUUUGGCUAAGGUCAAGUGUAGUGUCUGCACUCUUUUCUACAGUCUCAAUCUUUUUUAUAGUAUGGUGACCAAAACUGGAUGCAGUAUUCCAGAUGUAGUCUUACUUAGGCUUUAUAGAGUGAUAUUAA